CAGCCCAGAGCCUGAAUCAGUAUGUGUGUUAGUGGAAGCGUCUGGAAAGGCGCGCGAUACAGGGUGACAGCCCCGUACACAAAAAUGCACAUGCUGUGAGCUCGAUGAGUAGGGCGGGACACGUGGUAUCCUGUCUGAAUAUGGGGGGACCAUCCUCCAAGGCUAAAUACUCCUGACUGACCGAUAGUGAACCAGUACCGUGAGGGAAAGGCGAAAAGAACCCCGGCGAGGGGAGUGAAAAAGAACCUGAAACCGUGUACGUACAAGCAGUGGGAGCACGCUUAGGCGUGUGACUGCGUACCUUUUGUAUAAUGGGUCAGCGACUUAUAUUCUGUAGCAAGGUUAACCGAAUAGGGGAGCCGAAGGGAAACCGAGUCUUAACUGGGCGUUAAGUUGCAGGGUAUAGACCCGAAACCCGGUGAUCUAGCCAUGGGCAGGUUGAAGGUUGGGUAACACUAACUGGAGGACCGAACCGACUAAUGUUGAAAAAUUAGCGGAUGACUUGUGGCUGGGGGUGAAAGGCCAAUCAAACCGGGAGAUAGCUGGUUCUCCCCGAAAGCUAUUUAGGUAGCGCCUCGUGAAUUCAUCUCCGGGGGUAGAGCACUGUUUCGGCAAGGGGGUCAUCCCGACUUACCAACCCGAUGCAAACUGCGAAUACCGGAGAAUGUUAUCACGGGAGACACACGGCGGGUGCUAACGUCCGUCGUGAAGAGGGAAACAACCCAGACCGCCAGCUAAGGUCCCAAAGUCAUGGUUAAGUGGGAAACGAUGUGGGAAGGCCCAGACAGCCAGGAUGUUGGCUUAGAAGCAGCCAUCAUUUAAAGAAAGCGUAAUAGCUCACUGGUCGAGUCGGCCUGCGCGGAAGAUGUAACGGGGCUAAACCAUGCACCGAAGCUGCGGCAGCGACGCUGAUGCGUUGUUGGGUAGGGGAGCGUUCUGUAAGCCUGCGAAGGUGUGCUGUGAGGCAUGCUGGAGGUAUCAGAAGUGCGAAUGCUGACAUAAGUAACGAUAAAGCGGGUGAAAAGCCCGCUCGCCGGAAGACCAAGGGUUCCUGUCCAACGUUAAUCGGGGCAGGGUGAGUCGACCCCUAAGGCGAGGCCGAAAGGCGUAGUCGAUGGGAAACAGGUUAAUAUUCCUGUACUUGGUGUUACUGCGAAGGGGGGACGGAGAAGGCUAUGUUGGCCGGGCGACGGUUGUCCCGGUUUAAGCGUGUAGGCUGGUUUUCCAGGCAAAUCCGGAAAAUCAAGGCUGAGGCGUGAUGACGAGGCACU
rnacentral:rRNA from 1 species